rnacentral:rRNA from 1 species
GAUGAACGCUGGCGGCGUGCCUAAUACAUGCCAGUCGAGCGAACAGAGGAGGAGCUUGUUCCCCUGACGAUAGCCGCGCGCGGGAGAGUAACACGUGGAUAACCUACCUAUAAGACUGGGAUAAAUUCGGGACACCGGCGCUUAUCCCGGAAGAUAAAUUGAACCGCAACGUUCAAUUAUAAAAUACGAUUUUACUACUACCAAUUGGACGUUCCUCGUGGCAUCAGCUAGUUGGUGAGGUAACGGCUUAACAAGACAACACAGCGUAGCCGUCCGGGGGGGGUGGUCGGCCACACUGGAACUGAGACACGGUCCAGACUCCUACGGGAGGAAGCGGUGGGGAAUUUUCGGCAAUGGGCGAAAGCUUGACGGAGCAACGCGGCGGGGGUGAUGAAGGUCUUCGGAUCGUAAGCCUCUGUUAUUGGGGAAGAACAAAUGUGGAAGUAACAAUGCACGUCUUGACGGUACCUUAUCAGAAAGCCACGGCUAACUACGUG